rnacentral:rRNA from 1 species
UACGUAGGUGGCAAGCGUUGUCCGGAUUUACUGGGCGUAAAGGAUGCGUAGGCGGAUGUUUAAGUGAGAUGUGAAAUACCCGAGCUCAACUUGGGUGCUGCAUUUCAAACUGGAUAUCUAGAGUGCAGGAGAGGAAAGCGGAAUUCCUAGUUGAUAGCGGUGAAAUGCGAUAGAGAUUAGGAAGAACACCAGUGGGCGAAGGCGG